rnacentral:rRNA from 1 species
GACGAACGCUGGCGGCAUGCCUAAUACAUGCAAGUCGAGCGAACAGAUGAAGUGCUUGCACUUCUGACGUUAGCGGCGAACGGGUGAGUAACACGUAAGGAAUCUACCUAUAAGCGGGGGAUAACAUUCGGAAACGGGUGCUAAUACCGCAUAAUAUUUUCUUCCGCAUGGAAGAAAAUUGAAAGACGGCUCUGCUGUUACUUAUAGAUGACCUUGCGGUGCAUUAGUUAGUUGGUGGGGUAACGGCCUACCAAGACGAUGAUGCAUAGCCGACCUGAGAGGGUGAUCGGCCACAUUGGGACUGAGACACGGCCCAAACUACUACGGGAGGCAGCAGUAGGGAAUCUUCCGCAAUGGGCGAAAGCCUGACGGAGCAAUGCCGCGUGAGUGAAGAAGGCCUUCGGGUCGUAAAACUCUGUUAUAAGAGAAGAACAAAUUGUAGAGUAACUGCUACAGUCUUGACGGUAUCUUAUCAGAAAGCCACGGCUAACUACGUGCCAGCAGCCGCCGUAA